AUCCUGCGCUAUAAAAUGUGACGCUCUUGUUCCACAGUCUUCUUUAGCUUCAAGCUUUCAACCUGUCUGUGAGUAAUCGUGUGAAGAAAUGUGGCUUAAAACUAGGGAAUUCUUAGGCCUUUCUAUGAUUGCAGUGUAUAGUAACCUGCAUGGUUUGGGAUUGCAUAAAAGAUCCUCUUGUGAAGGGACUGGCCAACUGGACUUCAGGACAAAAUGUGGGUGAAUAAUCAUGGCAAUGAAAGCGUAAAAUUAAUGUUUUGCAUCUGAAGAAGCUUGUCCUGAUGGGUGUGAUCUGAAGAAUGUCCACUAGAAGGCGCAACACCCCAUUUUUGGUGACUGGAGGUCCCAUAUGGGUAGAUUGAAGAAUGAAUGCUGGCAGACUAUCGUUCUUCCAGUAUUGUAAAAUGAAAAGUAAGGUUUUUGUUCUUGAACAGUUGAAUGUACAUGAUAAAUUUGGUCAUAUACCAAGGCUAUUAGGAUACAUGGUUCCUGAUUUGCUGUGGACAUGACCGAAAAUUAAAACCCAUCCUAAUGAGUCGCUGUCAGUUGUAUUUCUGAUGGGAUUUAUUAGGAACAUUUUUCUUAAAUUCCCUCAAUAAACAACUCAAUGCAAGGUUGUACGUCUUUAACCAUUUAUGCUGUAACAGGUUUGGAGUUGGCAUGAAGGGUUUCUCAGCCAGACAUUUCUUGGAAGGUGAGAGCUGUUCCAAAUCUUUGGAUCACUUUCAAAGGGGGUCAACCACUUCUUUUCACUGCCGAUCCUUAACGCCGUCAUCCCACAUCAGUGCUCUAUGAGAUGUUUGGCAGUUUUUAUUUAUUUUUUUUGCUAAAUUAACUGCUUGCUGUCUUUGGUGCAACACCUGAUUCACUUAAAGCCAUAUCAUUGGCUUAUUGUAUUUGCACUUUUGAUAUGAU